rnacentral:lncRNA from 1 species
UCGCGUGAGCCAUUUAUUUUUUAAAACCUAAACACAUACAUGCAUGUUUUAAACGAAAAAAAACUACUCCUUUCCAAAUGUGUUUAGUUGUACAAGCAUGAAGAGUAAAUCGGUAAAGGGACUAUCUUUAGAAAUGCAUAGGCUUCAGUGGAGUAAUGGAUAGAACAUGAGAGAUUAGAGAUUAGCAGUAACUGACCACAAUCUAGUCCUUCCUUUUCAGGAGUGACUAUGUACUGAUGACCUUUAGAUUCUA